GCGUACCAUGUGUUGAUCGCUUACUCUGGCCAAGUAAGUAGUGAACACAUGAUAGCAUGAGCUUCUUAUAAUGAGCGUAGUUAUGUCCGAUGUAGUAAGGUCAAGAUGAAUGAAAAUUUAAAGGAUCCUUAGGGUCAAGAAAUCUUAUGGGCAUACUCGUAUAAAUGGUUUUCGCGGGAACCAUAAAAACGACGUAUGGCGCACAUAGAAAUAAAUGACCCAAGGAAAUUCGUGACAUAAGUCAUUUCGGACGAAACAACCAUGGUAGACAAAAAGGGCAUUGUAAAACCAAAGUAUAAAUGACCCGCGGGGUCAUAGAAACAAAGGUAUUGCCCACAUGGAAAAACGACCAAAGUCGUUGACUUUGGUCGUAGUAAAGAAAUGAUGAUGAUGAUGAUAAUCAUCAUUCAUAGUUUAUAAGACUGUCAAGGAUGGUCGAAUAAAGAAUAAAGGUUUGGUUGAAUAAAAGCGAUGGAUUUCGCUAAGAUAACCAAACAAAUUAAAACAAAAUCUUAAUGUAUACCGGAAUGCUUGCACUAAUAAUGACUUCGGUAAAGUACCCGGUUGAUGGGUAAGGAUUUAAACACAUGCGUAAACCGAGAAACGGGAACACGAAUUUAAAGUCAAAAGACUCGGAUUAUGAGUUAUGACUGAAAGACCAUAAAAUUUCGCAAACAGAAAUUUUGAUAAUUAUAUUCAACUAUUCGAAGUCGAAUGGGUUGAAUGAAGAAUAAAGUUGAUUGUUUAUAAGUGAUGGAUUUCACAUUAAUAAGUCAAACAGGUUGAAUAUAAUAUAACGCCGAAUGGCACAAAUGAGCGCUAGCCAGAUAAGGGUAGCGUUAAAUGCACGAGAAUAAUGAGCCCGGUAAUGGGAUAUAACCAAAUAAGAAUAAAUUAUGGACUGUCAAUAUCCUGGUAGGGAUAAUUGACAAAAGUUAAAGAGAAGAUCCUAAAACUAAAACUUCGGUUUUAGUAAGAAAUAAUGUUUUUACAAACAUAGACUCUGAUAGGAAUUUAAAUAAUAAGUAUGAAAGAUACAAAUCUUGACACUGAUAGGUGCAAGACAGUAUAUUCGAAAAGUGAUAUUUUCGAAGGUGAAAAGGUUAACAUAAAUUAAACAUGAUGUGACAUGAUCACGGUCAAGAGGUACAAUGUGAAGAAGAAUCACAUUAUAACCAGGCGAGCAGUAAAAAGUAGCGGGACUAAUAAGUCUAGUUAGCGAGACCGGUUAAGGCCAGUAAUUCAAAUCAAUAAAAUUUGGCUUGCUUGUAAGCGAUGGAUUCGGUAUAACUAAACCGAAUGAAUAAAUCUGAAAACAAAAGAAAUUAUUGCUGAAAGUGAAAUAUUUCACUAAAGACCUUUAAACGGGUUAAAGUAAUGGAUUCAUAAAGAAUUCGAUAUUAUAUGAAAGCAAUGGAUAUCGCUAAGUUAACUAAACUAGUGGAAAUAACGAGAUUACGUUAUUUCAAGUUGCACUAUGUCGUAAGAGUUAAGUAGACAAUUAGUAACCAAAGAGAUGUUAUCAUACUUUUCUGGUAAUACUAACUAUUGGAUAAAAGUAUAAGUAAGGUGUAAAAGAUUUCGCGAAUCGAAUACAUUGAGUUAAACUCAAUAAAUUAUGUAAGAAAAGGUUUCGAGGACGAAACCUCUUUAAGGGGGGUAGACUUGUAACACCCCGAAAACGGGUUUGGUAAUCAAACCACGUUUAUAUUAAAAGACGGGUAAUUUACCUUUAGUGGUAAAAGUAACCCGGUGAAUAUUGGGAUUAUUAAACAAACAAGAAUUUACUAACUAGGAAUUUUAACCUAGUUAGCUAAUAGUCUAGAGAUAACUUAUAAUAGGGCUAGAAACAACCAAACUUUAAGUUAUUCAAGAGUGGAGGGGCUUAUCUUGUAAAAUCUGAAACUUCAUUAGAUAAAAAAAAAUAAUUAAGGACCAAACAUACAAAAGUGUGUCUGGUCGUAUAUGGGACGCAGGGGGCGACCAGGAGACCUCACCAAGCCCUAGUUCAUCACUUAAUUCACAAAAUUGAAGGUCCAAAUCUGAUCAAAAUCGAAAAUCAAGAAUAGAUUAUUGAUCCCCAUUGAAAGGGGAGUCAUAAGUUGACUCUAAACAAGCUAGGUGGGAGCUUGGAAAGGAACGGGUCAAACGGAUCAUGGAUGCGAAGAAUGUUUGCGCGAACGCGAGGUAAGUAAAGCUUACGCCCAAUUGUAGUAAACGUAUGUAUUUUAUAGAUGAUAAAUGUGACAACCGAUUACAUUCGAAAUUGAAGUUCCGACACUAAGCGAUGUGAGUCGAAACGAAUAAAAAUGAUCAAAACCAUGGUUAAUGGUAAAAUGGACAAAAGGGUAAUUUAGUCGUGAAUCGACUAAGAAUUUAUAAGAUUUCUUUAAGGUUACCUUAUAGCGAAACUUGAAAUGGGUCGGAUGUGUGAAGGGGAUAUUAAAAGUCAUGUUUUGACAUAAGUAUAAAUGUUUGGUCAUAAAUACCAAAUGGGUCAAAUGGUGGUGAUGACACCAUUUGACAAUAUCGACUAAUGUUUGGUUGUUAAGUUAAAUGUUCACAGGAGUGAACGGGAAGUGGAUUAUUGCGUUGCUAUAAAGUAGCGGCUAAUAAAAGAAAGGUACAAAACGGGUCUAUAUGUUGACUCGAGCCAGGUACGCAUUAAUUAGAUCAUGGCGAUAUGCGUAGUUGUAUUUUAGAAUAUAAGUUACUAUGAAAUAUAGCGAUGAUAUCGCCACAUUGAAUAUUUGGUCAAAAGAUGGUUAGAACUCGUUGGUAGUCGUCAAAAAGGAAGGAAUUCCGUAAACGAGCCAAACGGGUCGAAUAAUCAAGUAAGGCAUGGUUAUUGUUUCGGAUUAUGAUGGUUUGAUGGUUGAUUUUGAAUAUUUUAUAACAUAUUAGAAAUAUGAGGUUUUAAUGAAUUAGUAUCAUAGAAAACUGAAAACCGAGAGUCGGGUCUUGGAGUAAUGAUCAAACAAAACAAAACCUGACAUUCCAGGUACUACCGUAAAUUACGGUAGAACCGUAAUUUACGGUGGUUGUGAUAUGGUUUACGGAGCAGAUCUCCUGGUUUACGGUGACCAGACAUUUCCAGGUCUCACCGUAAAUUACGGUGAUACCGUAAUUUACGGUGGAUUCAGAAUCACUUUUUUUAUAUUUUUGUUAUUUCUAAUGUGGUAUUAAGCCUUGGGAUUAUGUUAUUAUAUAACAACGUCAAAACUAAUGAUUUUAACGGUUUUGAUCAUAGGUGAAUGCCAAGAGUGCCCGGAUGAAGAUCAAGCUCGAUGAGGAACCGAACACAAUAAAAUCUAACACUCGGGAUUAAAGCUUCCGCACGGCGUUACGCCAUAUCUUUUAAACGACGAACUUAUUUAUAUUACGUUGAAAACUUUUAAGUUGUAAAAGUUUUUUUUUUAGAUUACUUGUAUUUUCUAAGAAUACUUAAUCGCAAUUUCAUGUUUAUUUUCGAUAUUUAUACGAAAAUCUUAAA
rnacentral:lncRNA from 1 species